UACGUAGGGGGCGAGCGUUACCAGGAUUUACUGGGCGUAAAGGGGGCGUAGGCGGCCGUGAAAGUCCGGUGUGAAAACUCACGGCUCAACCGUGGGACUGCGCUGGAAACUACACGGCUUGAGGACGGUAGAGGGAGACGGAACUGCUGGUGUAGGGGUGAAAUCCGUAGAUAUCAGCAGGAACGCCGGUGGAGAAGUCGGUCUCCUGGGCCGUUCCUGACGCUGAGGCCCGAAAGCUAGGGGAGCAAACCGG
rnacentral:rRNA from 1 species